rnacentral:rRNA from 1 species
UAGAUCUCAAAUCAGGUAGGACUACCCGCUGAACUUAAGCAU